AUUGAACGCUGGCGGCAGGCCUAACACAUGCAAGUCGAACGAGUGGCGGACGGGUGAGUAAUGUCUGGGAAACUGCCUGAUGGAGGGGGAUAACUACUGGAAACGGUAGCUAAUACCGCAUACCAUCAGAUGUGCCCAGAUGGGAUUAGUUAGUUGGUGGGGUAACGGCUCACCAAGGCGACGAUCCCUAGCUGGUCGGAGAGGAUGACCGGCCGCACUGGAAAUGAGACACGGUACAGACUCCAACGGGAGGCAGAAGUGGGGAAUAUUGAACAAUAGGCGCAAGCCUGAUGCUGCCAUGCCGCGUGUAUGAAGAAGGCCUUCGGGUUAUAAAGUACUUUCGGCGGGGAGGCGUUACCCGCAGAAGAAGCACCGGCUAACUCCGUGCCAGCAGCCGCGGUAAUAC
rnacentral:rRNA from 1 species